CUGUCAUAUCCGGCCCUGCGCGCACUGCACCGGAGCCGGAACUGGCCAGAGAGUGGUUUUUCCCACGACCCCUUCUUGGAUAGAGACCUGGCUCUUUCCUGCGUCCUGUGCUCUUAACAGGCGAUCACCGGGAAGUUCCACCUCUUGGUGACCUCGGACCGCAGCAUAAGCCACUUCAAUGUCCCCUCUCACGUGCUCCGGAAGACCAUGUCUUCCCGGCUGUCCAAGGACUGCGACAGAAGUACAACGUCCGCUCCGUGCCCGCCCGCAAGGACAAUGAGAUCCAGACAUGAAGAAACUGAAACUCAAGUUAAAUGAUACAGAGCAUGGAGUGGAGGAUGACCUUGAUUCCUGAGUGCUGGAAUUACAGGCAGGUGCUACUGUGCUAGACCUAUGUAUGCAGUACCAGGCCUGUGCAUACUAAGCCCGUCCUCCGCCACUGACUCCACUCCCCGCCACGGGUGGUUAUCGCCAGGCUGGAACCAGACAAAGACAGGGAAAAAAUUCUCGAAUGCAAAGCCAAGUCUCGGCAACUUGGGACAGAGAAAGGCCAGUGCAGGGAGCUCACUGAGGAUACAGGGGUGAAACCGGCUGUCAGGCAGCCAGGGCUGACUGCAGAGGCCUGUCUGGUGUCUCUUCAAACUUUUCAAAGUGUGUCUGAUGUGUUUCAUUGUCCACCUGUUUUGCUACUGACCUGUCACUCUUGUAAAUCUCCUUCUGCAGUUUUGAUAAUUUAUGAAUAAAAAUUGGAACUGUUUUCUAAUGUCAA